GUCCACGCAGUAAACGAUGAAUACUAGCUGUAUGCGAUAUACUGUAUGCGGCACAGCGAAAGCGUUAAGUAUUCCACCUGGGGAGUACGUUCGCAAGAAUGAAACUCAAAGGAAUUGACGGGGGCCCGCACAAGCGGAGGAACAUGUGGUUUAAUUCGAUGAUACGCGAGGAACCUUACCCGGGCUUGAAAUGUAGAGGAAUUAUGUGGAAACAUGUAAGUCAGCAAUGACCUCUAUGUAGGUGCUGCAUGGUUGUCGU
rnacentral:rRNA from 1 species